rnacentral:rRNA from 1 species
UACGUAGGGGGGCGAGCGUUGCCCGGAAUCAUUGGGCGUAAAGGGCGCGCAGGCGGCCUGAUUAGUCGUGGGUGAAAUCGUUCGGCUCAACCGAGCGGGGUCCUGCGAAACGGUCGGGCUGGAGCAAGGCAGGGGGUCGUGGAAUUCCCGGUGUAGUGGUGGAAUGCGUAGAGAUCGGGAGGAACACCAGUGGCGAAGGCGGCGACCUGGGCCUGUGCUGACGCUGAGGCGCGAAAGCUAGGGGAGCAAACAGG